rnacentral:rRNA from 1 species
CAGCAGCCGCGGGAAAACGAAGGGUGCAAGCGUUACUCGGAAUUACUGGGCGUAAAGCGUGCGUAGGUGGUGGUUUAAGUCCGUUGUGAAAGCCCUGGGCUCAACCUGGGAAUUGCAGUGGAUACUGGGUCACUAGAGUGUGGUAGGAUAGUGGAAUUUCCGGUGUAGCAGUGAAAUGCGUAGAGAUCGGAAGGAACAUCUGUGGCGAAGGCGACUAUCUGGGCCAACACUGACACUGAGGCACGAAAGCGUGGGGAGCAAACAGGAUUAGAUACCCCUGUAGUCCCUGUCUCUUAUACAC